rnacentral:rRNA from 1 species
GGAGGGUGCAAGCGUUGUCCGGAUUUAUUGGGUUUAAAGGGUGCGUAGGUGGGUAUUUAAGUCUGGUUUGAAAGCAGGUGGCUCUACCAUCUGAUGUGGCUGGAAACUGGAUAUCUUGAAUGGGUUGGCGGUAGCCGGAAUGGGUCAUGUAGCGGUGAAAUGCAUAGAUAUGACCCGGAACACCGAUUGCGAAGGCAGGCUACUACGACUUGAUUGACACUGAGGCACGAGAGCAUGGGUAGCGAACAGGAUUAGAUACCCUGGUAGUCCAUGCCGUAAACGAUGAUUACUGGCUGUGUGUGUUCUAACAUGCGUGGCUGAGCGAAAGCGUUAAGUAAUCCACCUGGGGAGUACGCUGGCAACAGUG